rnacentral:rRNA from 1 species
ACGAACGCUGGCGGCAUGCUUCACACAUGCACGUCGAACGGAAAGGCCCUGCUUUUGUGGGGUGCUCGAGUGGCGAACGGGUGAGUAACACGUGAGUAACCUGCCCUUGACUUUGGGAUAACUUCAGGAAACUGGGGCUAAUACCGGAUAGGAGCUCCUGCUGCAUGGUGGGGGUUGGAAAGUUUCGGCGGUUGGGGAUGGACUCGCGGCUUAUCAGCUUGUUGGUGGGGUAGUGGCUUACCAAGGCUUUGACGGGUAGCCGGCCUGAGAGGGUGACCAGCCACAUUGGGACUGAGAUACGGCCCAGACUCCUACGGGAGGCAGCAGUGGGGAAUAUUGCACAAUGGGCGGAAGCCUGAUGCAGCAACGCCGCGUGCGGGAUGACGGCCUUCGGGUUGUAAACCGCUUUCGCCUGUGACGAAGCGUGAGUGACGGUAAUGGGUAAAGAAGCACCGGCUAACUACGUG